UGUGUGUCCACAGGGAGAAAUCCAACAAUUGUUGAUCGUAGCUGACCCCAGAGCUGCAGAGACCUACUGUCAAGACUACAUUCCCGACUGCCACGCCCCUUUACCCUACGACAGCCUAUCACAAGAGACUGAGGAGGAGACAAAGCCCGCCAGGAGGGUUAAGGUGGAGGAGUUUGAUGAGUUUGACUACAGUGACCUUUACGACGACCUCUCUGUCUCCACGGUUACCGUGAGACCUAACAUCACAGAGUAUGAGAUUGUAGAGUACGAAGACUAUGACAACGAAACAGAUGAGUACGAGGUCAGAGAGUAUGAAUACGAGGAGGAAUUUGAAGAUCGAUACGGAUUGGCCGAGAGGGAGAGGGCGGAGUCCUGGAACGGACAGGAAAGAAUAGAGAAAGGAGAGAAAGGAGAAAAAUCC